AGUGCGUAGAUAUCGGGAGGAACACCAGUGGCGAAGGCGGCCUACUGGGCACUAACUGACGCUGAGGCUCGAAAGCAUGGGUAGCAAACAGGAUUAGAUACCCUGGUAGUCCAUGCCGUAAACGAUGAUUACUAGGUGUGGGGAGAUUGACCCUCUCCGUGCCGCAGUUAACACAAUAAGUAAUCCACCUGGGGAGUACGACCGCAAGGUUGAAACUCAAAGGAAUUGACGGGGGCCCGCACAAGCAGUGGAGUAUGUGGUUUAAUUCGAAGCAAUGCGAAGAACCUUACCAGGUCUUGACAUCCAACGACCGCCUAAGAGAUUAGGUUUUCCUUCGGGACGUUGAGACAGGUGGUGCAUGGUUGUCGUCAGCUCGUGUCGUGAGAUGUUGGGUUAAGUCCCGCAACGAGCGCAACCCUUAUCGUCAGUUACUACGCAAGAGGACUCUGGCGAGACUGCCGUUGACAAAACGGAGGAAGGUGGGGAUGACGUCAAAUCAUCAUGCCCUUUAUGACCUGGGCUACACACGUACUACAAUGGCUGCAAACAAAGAGAAGCGAAGCCGCGAGGCAGAGCAAACCUCAUAAACGCAGUCUCAGUUCGGAUUGCAGGCUGCAACCCGCCUGCAUGAAGCCGGAAUUGCUAGUAAUCGCGGAUCAGCAUGCCGCGGUGAAUACGUUCCCGGGCCUUGUACACACCGCCCGUCACACCAUGAGAGCCGGGGGGACCCGAAGUCGGUAGUCUAACCGCAAGGAGGACGCCGCCGAAGGUAAAACUGGUGAUUGGGGUGAAGUCGUAACAAGGUAACC
rnacentral:rRNA from 1 species